AAUAAUUGGCUACUUUAUUCAAGGAAAUAAUUGGCAAGGAUAAAAAUAAUUGGCUGCUUUAUUAAAGGAAUAUAUAUAUAUGACCCACCAAAUAGGUAGACUAAGCAUUAUCGAUCACUCAGUGCAGGUGUCUCGUCUUGAUCAGAUCUGACGGAUUGGCUUUAUGAUGUUCACCUUUUGGUGCAACCAUAGAAAAGCAUUUUAUUAUAAUAAUAAUAUCCUUAUUUCUUGACUUUUU
rnacentral:lncRNA from 1 species